GAUGAACGCUGGCGGCGUGCCUAACACAUGCAAGUCGAACGGAGUCCAGCCUUUAAGACCUUCGGGUCAAAGAGGGGAAGACUGAGUGGCGGACGGGUGAGUAACACGUGGGCAACCUGGCUCAUAGAGGGGGAUAACAGAGAGAAAUUUCUGCUAAUACCGCAUAAGCACACACUGCCGCAUGGCAGAGGGUGAAAAGAGAAUCGCUAUGAGAUGGACCCGCGUCUGAUUAGCCAGUUGGCAGGGUAAGAGCCUACCAAAGCCACGAUCAGUAGCCGAUCUGAGAGGAUGAACGGCCACAUUGGGACUGAGACACGGCCCAAACCCCUACGGGAGGCAGCAGUGGGGGAUAUUGCACAAUGGGGGGAACCCUGAUGCAGCGACGCCGCGUGAGUGAAGAAGUAUUUCGGUAUGUAAAGCUCUAUCAGCAGGGAAGAUAAUGACAGUACCUGAAUAAGAAGCCCCGGCUAACUACGUG
rnacentral:rRNA from 1 species